UACGUAGGGGGCUAGCGUUGUCCGGAAUCAUUGGGCGUAAAGCGCGUGUAGGCGGUCCGGUAAGUCCGCUGUGAAAGUCGAGGGCUCAACCCUCGAAUGCCGGUGGAUACUGUCGGGCUUGAGUACGGGAGAGGCGAGUGGAAUUCCUGGUGUAGCGGUGAAAUGCGCAGAUAUCAGGAGGAACACCGGUGGCGAAGGCGGAUCUCUGGGCCAUUACUGACGCUGAGGAGCGAAAGCGUGGGGAGCGAACAGG
rnacentral:rRNA from 1 species